rnacentral:lncRNA from 1 species
GAGCUCACCUGUGACCGCCCAGCUCCAGACAAUCGACUUGCCUCCAGCUACGCCCUCUGAGACAGCAGACCACUACCUGCUGUGUCCAUCAAGCACUGUGCCGACAGGGCAAUCUUGUGACUAUUGUGGGAGGGACAUUUCAAUCACAUGUGAAACACCCCGUUUGGGGGUAUAUAACCACUCUGGCACCCCACUUCUUGGGUGCCCUUUCUUCCUUCUGGAAGAAAGGCCCCGGGCCAUGGUUCCUCAUAAAGCUUUGUUUAAUUUUCUCUUGCUAUUCUGUCUCAUGUGAAUUUAAUUCGUUCUCCAGCCAGACGAACCCCUAUUUGGGGAGAGGAAAUGUCCUCCUCCCCUACAGUUUUGGCGUAGUUGGCAGGCUGAAAUUUCCCUGGCUGGACACUGCUUGCUCCUAGACUGCUGCGGCUGAGAGAUCCCAGACCCCUGACGAGAGCCGGCAAGAGAAAUACUUCUUAAACACCUGAUUGCUUGCUUCCAAAAUAAAGGCCUAACUUUGGGAGCCCACCUGCGUCGCCACCUUCUAAAAUGAAUUUAACUGGACUGAUCUAUUACCAGGACUAAGAAAUGUGUUCAGUGAGAUGAAACAAUCUACUACCACUCAGCUUCUGGAUUGUGAAACUUUUAGUUUCAAAGGCGGGACUGUAGGGACCUGAAAUUGGCCACCCCAAG